AUUGACUAAGGUUUCCAGAGGAAGGCUCGUCCGCUCUGGGUUAGUCGGGUCCUAAGCUGAGGCCGACAGGCGUAGGCGAUGGAUAACAGGUUGAUAUUCCUGUACCACCUAUAAUCGUUUUAAUCGAUGGGGGGACGCAGUAGGAUAGGCGAAGCGUGCGAUUGGAUUGCACGUCUAAGCAGUAAGGCUGAGUAUUAGGCAAAUCCGGUACUCGUUAAGGCUGAGCUGUGAUGGGGAGAAGACAUUGUGUCUUCGAGUCGUUGAUUUCACACUGCCGAGAAAAGCCUCUAGAUAGAAAAUAGGUGCCCGUACCGCAAACCGACACAGGUAGUCAAGAUGAGAAUUCUAAGGUGAGCGAGCGAACUCUCGUUAAGGAACUCGGCAAAAUGACCCCGUAACUUCGGGAGAAGGGGUGCUCUUUAGGGUUAACGCCCAGAAGAGCCGCAGUGAAUAGGCCCAAGCGACUGUUUAUCAAAAACACAGGUCUCUGCUAAACCGUAAGGUGAUGUAUAGGGGCUGACGCCUGCCCGGUGCUGGAAGGUUAAGAGGAGUGGUUAGCUUCUGCGAAGCUACGAAUCGAAGCCCCAGUAAACGGCGGCCGUAACUAUAACGGUCCUAAGGUAGCGAAAUUCCUUGUCGGGUAAGUUCCGACCCGCACGAAAGGCGUAACGAUUUGGGCACUGUCUCAACGAGAGACUCGGUGAAAUCAUAGUACCUGUGAAGAUGCAGGUUACCCGCGACAGGACGGAAAGACCCCGUGGAG
rnacentral:rRNA from 1 species